AGGAUCAUUACCGAAUUGUCCAAUGAGUUGUUGCUGGCCCUCAGACCCAGGGCAUGUGCACACCUCUGUUCACACAUCCACUCACACCUGUGCACCCCCUCCUAGUUCUGUGGCCUGGGGACCCUGUCCUCCCAGCCUGUGGUUCUAUGUAUUUACCCACACAACGUGAUGAAGUUUCAUGGAAUGUAUGUGCCGCAUUUAAUGCAAUACAAUACAACUUUCAGCAACGGAUCUCUUGGCUCUCGCAUCGAUGAAGAACGCAGCGAAAUGCGAUAAGUAAUGUGAAUUGCAGAAUUCAGUGAAUCAUCGAAUCUUUGAACGCACCUUGCGCCCUUUGGCCAUUCCGAAGGGCAUGCCUGUUUGAGUAUCAUGAACUCUUCAACUCCUUAUGGCUUGCCAUGAUGAGCUUGGACUUUGGGGGUCUUGCUGGCUUUGCAGUCGGCUCCUCUCAAACGAAUUAGCUUCCCAGCAUUUGGUUAGCAUCACAGGUGUGAUAACUGUCUGCGCCUGUGGUUUCUGCCAGAUGACCCUCGGUUUAAAAGGGGGUUUGCUGGAGCUCAUAAACGUCUCUCUUCAAUGGGGACAGCUAUUUGAACAUUUGAUCUCAAAUCAGGUAGGACUACCCGCUGAACUUAA
rnacentral:rRNA from 1 species